rnacentral:lncRNA from 1 species
AUGGGACUUGACCCUAGCAGCCUGCCAUUCUGUGGCUGGAUCAGGCAUUGGCAAAGAGAAACUACACCAUGUACAAAGAACACAAUAACUGCUGAUCGACUAUUAUUGUGCUGUUAUUUCCUCUCCUACAAGGCUGGUUACAUCAGUGAGAAACACCGAAAAUAUAUUUUCAGAAUUGAAUUUGAAAGAAUUUAUUGUGAAAGAAGUUGUAUCAUACAUAAUGAAGUGUUAUAAAAGCCCGGAAUGAUUUCAAGUGACUGAUUCCACAUUAGGCACUGGGAAAGCUGUGCCUGGAACAGCUAGAAGUAAGUACAGAGGGCCUGAUGUAAUGCAUGUUGAAGUCAAUGAAUUUUUUCCAUUGUGUAUAGUAGACAUAAAGUUUUUCAAUUUCAUGGGACGGAAAAAAUUUAUUUUAUGGAACAAACACUCACAAAGAAACACAACUCAUUUCUUAAAUACAUGUACUUUCUUCCUGAUGUUUUUAAUGGGAAACGUGUGCACUGUGAGGUGAGUACAUCAAAUUACCCUGCUUUUUGAAGAGGAUUAGUUAAUUUUGCAGGGAAAUCAAUAUCCAAUAAC